CCUACGGGGGGCAGCAGUGGGGAAUAUUGGACAAUGGGCGAAAGCCUGAUCCAGCAAUGCCGCGUGAGUGAUGAAGGCCUUAGGGUUGUAAAGCUCUUUUACCAGGGAUGAUAAUGACAGUACCUGGAGAAUAAGCUCCGGCUAACUCCGUGCCAGCAGCCGCGGUAAUACGGAGGGAGCUAGCGUUGUUCGGAAUUACUGGGCGUAAAGCGCACGUAGGCGGCUUUUUAAGUCAGGGGUGAAAUCCCGGGGCUCAACCCCGGAACUGCCCUUGAAACUGGGAAGCUAGAAUCUUGGAGAGGCGAGUGGAAUUCCGAGUGUAGAGGUGAAAUUCGUAGAUAUUCGGAAGAACACCAGUGGCGAAGGCGACUCGCUGGACAAGUAUUGACGCUGAGGUGCGAAAGCGUGGGGAGCAAACAGGAUUAGAUACCCCUGUAGUC
rnacentral:rRNA from 1 species